AAUUAAUCUGACAAGUACCUGACAUUUUAUUUUAGGUACAACGAUUCUGGUGCUGUGCUUUUCUUGUGUAUCAAAUUCACAAAGCUCCCUAGGUGAAAUUACCCAUGUACUUUCAAAGCUGAUUCAUGGCUCUUCGCUUGGCAUUGAAGACUCAGUCUGCACAGGUCUGAAGAUUUAACCAUUAAACAGCUCUGACAGCACCCACUGCAAAUGCAUUUCGCUGUGAGCCUGAGUAUCCAGAAAUGUGUGCUGCAUUUGGAGCAGGAAAUACACAUGCUACAUUAUCCAGUGCUGAGAGCCCCAGGUACAGUGUUUAUACAAUCUACUGUUUGGCAACCUCAUUUCAAGGCCAGUGACCCACCACUUCUUGUGAUUGUUACAAUGAUCUGCAGCAAAUCUCUUCAGGAUAAUGGGCACUGUUCAGCCACAGCCACCGCUAUGUCUUAGUUUCAAGUAUCAAAUACCAGUCUGGGGUCUUCCUGAAGAUAACACAAAGCAAUAUUAUAAGACAUCAAUAAGCAAAACAAACCUUUAACAAAUGUAAACCAGCAAGAGUUUGCUAGCAGCAGCUGACAGCAAAGCCAUAUAUAAGCACACAGGUGUGUAUAUGACAUAAGUGUGUUCCCUAUACUGCACCUGUCCUGCUUUUUUUCUGAACACAAAAUGAACUUUCCAAGAUCUCAGUUCUUUUUUCCAGCAAUUCCAAAUGCCACAAAAAUGCUGUAAAGAAUCAGUUGUCCUAUUAUUUACAUGACUUACAACUUACAGCACAGCAAAUCAAUGUCAGCACUGCAGCAGAGCCUGGGGGCAAACACCUGGCUCCACUGAUGCUGGGAGCAGAGCUCCCACUGACACUCAUGAGAGCAGGACAUCUUCCUGCAGUGCCUCGUGCCAGCUUCUAUCAACAGGCAGUACUGCAUUGUCAUGGAAGUAAUGCAACAGCACAUCUCUGACUGGAGUAGUGAUAGGAGCACUGCUGAGUUCACUGGGAAGAUUGCUACCUUUUUCUCUUUUCUUUCCUUUUUUACAUUUCUUUUUCUAGCCCUUUUAUUUUAUCAUGCCUAAAAUCUGUUGAAUUAAAGAUGGAAUGGUAAGCAGAGACAGGUACAGUAAUAGCUGCUGAAAAUCAAUAUUAUUGUUUUCUCCAAGUAUGAGGAUUCAGAAAAUGUAAGGAUGUGGUUUAUCUCAGUUUAUUUUACUUCCAUACUGUUCACCAAUAAAGUCUUUAUCUCCUUCAUUUA